GACGAACGCUGGCGGCGUGCUUAACACAUGCAAGUCGAACGGAAAGGCCGUUCUGUUGUGGGAUGAGUGGGGAGCGGACGGGUGACAAGCGGGUAAGUAGCCCUCCCCUCUGUGAUAGAUCAAUGCAAGAGACUCUGACAAUGACCAUGACCGCUGACCGCCUGCACUGUUGGUGUUGGGAAUUGUCGGCUGGGGAUGGGCUCGCGGCCGAUCAGCUUGUUGGUGGGGUAGUGGCUUACCAAGGCGACGACGGGUAGCCGGCCUGAGAGGGUGACCGGCCACACUGGGACUGAGAUACGGCCCAGACUCCUACGGGAGGCAGCAGUGGGGAAUAUUGCGCAAUGGGCGGAAGCCUGAUGCAGCAACGCCGCGUGGGGGAUGACGGCCUUCGGGUUGUAAACCGCUUUCGCCAGGGACGAAGCGUGAGUGACGGUACCGGCUAAAGAAGCACCGGCUAACUACGUG
rnacentral:rRNA from 1 species